UGCCCUUUGGUUAUAAGAUGAAGGGUAAACUCUGCCCAAUGAUUAUUUGAAUGGCCGCAGUAUUUUAACUGUGCUAAGGUAGCAUAAUCAGUUGGCUUUUAAUUCAAGUCUGGUAUGAAUGAUUUUAUGAAGGGCCUACUGUUUUUUUGAAAAGUUUAUGAAUUUUUAUGGUAGGUGAAGAUACUUAUAUUACUUUAAAAGACGAGAAGACCCUAUAAAGUUUUAUGCUUAAUAUUGAUGUCUUGUCUAUUUUGUGCAUUUAGUUGGGGCGAUUAUAAGACAGUAAAAACUUUUAUUAAUAUUAGAUGUAGAUGAGCAUAUUUAAUAUUGAUCCAUUAUUUUGAUUACUAGAAUAAAUUACUUUAGGGAUAACAGCGUAAUUUAUUCUUAGAGUUCUUAUCGAUGAAUAAGAUUGCGACCUCGAUGUUGGAUUAAGAUACCUUUUUGGCGCAGGGGCUUGACGGGGUAGUCUGUUCGACUAUUAAAUUCUUACA
rnacentral:rRNA from 1 species